GGAUAACUGAGGUAAUUCUUGAGCUAAUACACGCUAUUUAUACCACAUUAGUGGUGCGUUUAUUUGAUUAAACCAUUAUUAUUGGUUGACUCAAAAUAUUCUUGCUGAUUUUGUUACUAAAACAUACCGUAUGUGUAUCUGGUUUAUCAACUUUCGAUGGUAGGGUAUUGGCCUACCAUGGUUGUGACGGAUAACGGAGAAUUAGGGUUCGACUCCGGAGAGGGAGCCUGAGAAACGGCUACCACAUCCAAGGAAGGCAGCAGGCGCGAAAAUUACCCAAUUUUAGUUUAAAGAGGUAGUGACGAAAAAUGACAACCAAAUAUUAUUAUUAAUAUUUGGAUUGAAAAUCUUCAAGUUUAAAUAACUUGUUGGUAAAGGAAAGGGCAAGUCUGGUGCCAGCAGCCGCGGUAAUACCAGCUUUCCAAGUGCAUAAAAUGAUUGUUGUGGUUAAAAAGCUCGUAGUUGGAUUAUAAAGAUUGUGUAAUGAGCAUCUUGGAUGUUAUUAUUUCAUUACCAUCUUAUUAUUUUUAUUAUAUUAGUAAUAAUAUAAUAACUGUUACUUUGAAUAAAUCAGAGGGUUUAAACCAGGCAUUUAAUAUGUUUGUAUGGUCUAGCAUGGAAUAACACUAUAGAAAAAGUUAGUGUGGUUUCACUAAUCUUUUUCAUGAUUAAUAGGAACAAACGGGGGCAUUCGUAUCGCUACGUUAGAGGUGAAAUUCUUGGACCGUAGCGAGACGUCCUACUGCGAAAGCAUUUGCCAAGAAUGUUUUCAUUAAUCAAGAACUAAAGUUAGAGGUUCGA
rnacentral:rRNA from 1 species